GACGAACGCUGGCGGCGUGCUUAACACAUGCAAGUCGAACGGAAAGGCCCUGCUUGCCGGGUACUCGAGUGGCGAACGGGUGAGUAACACGUGUGUGAUCUGCCCUGCACUUUGGGAUAAGUCCGGGAAACUGGGUCUAAUACCGGACAGGAGCCCUUUUUAGCGUGAUGGUUGGAAAGAUUUUUCGGUCUCGGAUGAGCCUGCGGCCUAUUAGCUUGUUGGUGGGUUUAUGGCCUACCAAGGCGGCAUCGGGUAGCCGGCCCGAAAGGGUGGACGGGCAUCUCGGGUCUGAGCUACGGCCCAAACCUCUACUGGAGGGCAGCAUGGGGAACAUUGCACAAUCGGCGCAAGCCAGAUGCAGCGACGCCGCGCUGGGGAUGACCGACUUUCGGUUGCAAACUCCCUUCGCUAGGGAAGAAGCCUUUUGUGACGGUACCUAGAUAAGAAGCCCCGGCUAACUACGUG
rnacentral:rRNA from 1 species